CUAUAGGGAGCUAUGGUGCCAGGAAACAACUUUGUAUGUGCAGUGUUUAAGUAUAAAACGGCUGGAGAUGUAAUCCACCCAUAGAAGCAUCAUUAGCCAGCCUUGAAUUACAGUUACACGUCCACUUCUAUGUUUAUUCUUUGCACAGACGUUCAUUCAUUAGCUGAGAUCGCUGAGCGGACACUCUCAGUCAAUGAAUGACUCUCUGAAGCCCUGCAGAACUGGAUGCAACCAUGUCACCAUAAAAGAAGGCUUGGCACCCAGCAGGUCCCAGGUAAGAGGAGAAUUGUUAGAAAAUGGUUUGCCCCGUUACAACUCCCAUGAUACUUUGCAUGCCUUUAGGCAAUGGCUAGCUGCUAGAUACGGCCUGCCUAAGGUCUCUCAGCAUUCACCACUGUUUUAUAUAGGACUACCAAAAAAAAAAAGAAAACCCCCCAAAAAACAACAACAAGCAUUGAUCUUAUCACAUCAGCGUAAUCUUUAGUAAAAUUAUGGAAUCAUUAUACAGUACAUUUCUCAAUUCUUCUGGAACAUUUUCAGGUACCCGGAU